rnacentral:rRNA from 1 species
CGAAAGAUGGUGAACUAUGCCUGGCCAGGACGAAGCCAGAGGAAACUCUGGUGGAGGUCCGAAGCAGUUCUGACGUGCAAAUCGAUUGUCAGAGCUGGGUAUAGGGGCGAAAGACCAAUCGAACCAUCUAGUAGCUGGUUCCCUCCGAAGUUUCCCUCAGGAUAGCUGGUGCUCGCUAUAUAAACGGAGUUUCAUCCGGUAAAGCGAAUGAUUAGAGGUACUGGGGGUGAAACGCCCUCAACCUAUUCUCAAACUUUAAAUGGGUGAGUGACCAAGCUUGCUUGAUAUGAGUGAGAUGUGUGUUUCCGUUGUUCGGUCGGUGGCCGUUCGUGAAAGGGGUUCUGCCUCGAGUACCGGCGGUUACUGCCGGCUUCGGUCGCACUCUCGUUUAUUCUUUUUGAAGCUUUGGCCUACAAAUCCAGAGCACCAAGUGGGCCAUUUUU